rnacentral:rRNA from 1 species
AUACGGGGGGUGCAAGCGUUGUUCGGAAUUAUUGGGCGUAAAGCGCGCGUAGGCGGACCAUUAAGUCUGAUGUGAAAUCCCUCGGCUCAACCGAGGACCUGCAUUGGAUACUGGUGGUCCUGAAUCUCGGAGAGGGUGGCGGAAUUCCCAGUGUAGAGGUGAAAUUCGUAGAUAUUGGGAGGAACACCGGCGGCGAAGGCGGCCACCUGGACGAUGAUUGAUGCUGAGGUGCGAAAGCAUGGGUAGCAAACAGGAUUAGAAACCCUAGUAGUCC